rnacentral:lncRNA from 1 species
ACUAAGUUUUAAAAUGGUUUCAUAGCCGUAGCAACUACAACAGAAAACCACACCAUGAGUAUAAUUGAAAAACAGGUAGAGAGUGCCUGAGGAUUCACCUGAAACCUAAAGCGUACCUGAAGCCUGUUAAUGCAUUGUCUACAGGUGGGGAACUCAGGACUAACACCCGACACAGCCAAAAUGGCUGCAGUGGAGCUGAAGCGAGAUGGCAGAAGGCUGCAGUAUGCCAUGAACGUUCUUGCUGGUGACAGAGAAUACACGAGCAUUUUCUAUGGACCAGAGUCUUUUGAUUUUGUCAUCUUGAGAAGAUUGUAAGUCAAGCUGUAACAGUAAUUCUCAAGAUGAAGCUUGCCUUUCAAAGACUACAGUCGUGUGUGAGAAAUUCGUGAAGAUGCCACUUGAGUAUUUGAGCUGAUUGCAUUCCAAAUGAAUACAGGAGGAGGAUUAUAAAGGUACUUCCUUCUUUGCUUUUCAAAUUACUGCUCACUUUCAUUUUCGAAUGAUAUUUCAUAGGUCAUUAAGCUCUCAUUUAUAGUAAUCUUAUAGUUGGGGAAAUUGUAAGCUUCUGAUUAUGGGGGAAAACAUGCUUAUAGCAUCCAUGCAAAUAUUGUCUCUGUUUUGACAAACUUGCAGUGAUACAAUGUGUUUUCUCUGCCUUGCUAAAAAUUCUUUUAAAUAAGUUUGUAUUUUUUUCUCCAUAUCACUGUUUUCUGGAUUUCUCUAAGUGAUUGUAUUUAAUUGUUACUGAUUUCAUUUGAAUUUAAUCUACAAAUGAAAGGAACAGAGGCUCUGAACUUAAUGAAAUAUGGAUUCAAAUCCCAAGUCUGCUUUUUAAAAAGUGGUAUCUUUUAAGGCAAUUUCUUGUGAUUCAUUUUUCUUUUCUGAAAUAUAAGAACAAAAUAUCAUGAGAUUAUUGACAUUUAGAUGAAAAGCUUUGUACAAAGUGUCUAGUACAGUGUCUAAGAGGCAUUCAAUAAUUUAUUUCUCUUUCUUGAAGAGAGGAACAAUUUCAACAUAUCAACACAUAUCCCAAGUAAUUUUUACUAAGCUGCAUCAUCUUUAGUGACUUGUUAAUUUUUUUUUAAAACUAGUCAAGUUUAUUUGAGAUUAUAUGUCACUGGAUAUAAUAAUAAAAUUUAUGUGUUUCUUGAAACUAAUCCAAGCCCACAACCUCCCCAUUGUUACUUACUUUUCACCUUAGUUUGAUACUUAAAUUACAGGGACCAUUAAUUUAGCUCCUCAGUGCAUUUUAUGUAUAUAAAAGCAAUUGCUUCUUAAUAAUUGCAUAGCCUUAUUCUUAUGCUAGUGUGAACAUGGAGUAUUGAAUUAAAAUAUAAGAAAUUUGUCAUUAUUAGAUUGGAUUUGAUCUACAAAGUCAUAACUUUAUAUAGUUCAAACUAAUAAUUCCCAAAAUAAUAAUAUUUGGAAGGCAUUCAGCAGUACCGAUGUCCUUCAAUCACUUAUUCCUAUGUAUGGCAUGAAAAUAUAUAUGAGAGAAACUGGAGGUUAUAGAUGAUCAGAAAUUCCUAACAGAAACUGAAUACCACAGAAAAGUGUUUCAUAAACCACAUGUAAAAAGGGGGAAAUUAUAUUCUGUCAGCAUUAAGAGCUAAAUUCUGAUUUGCAAGUAUGUUCUACAAUUUAAUUUGAGAUGCUUCUUCUUAAAGAACAUUAGAUGUUAAUGGAUUUUAAAAGAACUUUUAAGAAAUAAAGAUAAUCUUAAGUACUAUGCUUGGUAUUCCUCCUCAACAGUCACAGCAUUAACAGAAAAUUUAAAAUUCAAGUAUAAUGCUGACAAACCUGAACAAUUUACAGGUCCCAAAAUAGAGGCAUUGAGGGAGUUCAUCAGUGCAUUGUGCAUCUUCAUAUUGGCUUAGAAAAUCAUUAUGUCAGAUAAAAAUAAUUCUUUCCUUAAAACAUUUCCACACAUUUUCAACAGACACUCUGCAAAUUAUCAUUUCAAUUCUUUAUAUAAGAUGAUAAUGCCACUGGCUAAGAUAAUGGCAGUCAAUUUCCCACUAAAAUCUUUUUAAUUGUAUUCAUUUUUCUUAUAAUGUCUAAUCCUACUCAGUUUAAAAUAUGCAAGGAAAUCCCUGAAUUAGUCUUAAUUACAGUGUUGUUUAAUGUUGCUAGGUAUAUAAUUGCUCAGUUUGGAAUUUUUUUUUUUUAAAGAUAGGUUACCUUUUAAAGAGGUGAUCUAGAUUUCUGCAUUCCUAAUCAGUCAGAUGGGCCACUUAGGUGGCAGGGAUAGAAUUUGUGCAUGAAUACAAUCAUAUAAACUACCUCUCACCAGUUACUUCCAUGCUGAACUUUCUAACAACAGCAGAGUCCAGUGGUGAAAUCCCCAUGCAGUCCAGUUUCCUGAGGGUUGAGAUUGACUUCAUUAAACUUCUUCAUCAAGAAGAAGACACUGAAACACACUAGUAUUUUGCAUAUGGGUUUGCCUUCAUGUUCACAACAUUUCUUCCAUUAUAAUUAUAAGUGAACGUUGAGAAUGCUUUCUUACCAGUGUUUUGCUGGUAAAUAUUUAACAAGCAAUUAGCAAAAAAAAAAAAAA